CCAUCCACAAAGUACAGCCUGGGCAUUCAAGGGACGUCACUCAUUUCCCCCAAGUGACCUUGACAAGUCAGAAGCCUGAAAGCAGGGAAAUCCGGAUGUCUCCAUUAUGAAGUGAAACAGUGGGAGCUUCAGCAUAUUUCCAGAACUCUCCAUCAAGCCUGGUGGUUGAGCAUCUGCCUCCCUCACUGCCAGUAGCCAUCUGCACAGCUUCCCUGGCUCUAAGGGGUUUGUACAAUGGCCAAGUACAUCUGUCUGCUGUGGCUUCUCGCUUCCAUCUGGACCACUGGGCUCCUGGUUCAAGGCUCUGUCUCAGUUCAAGAACUUACCAUCUCAUUGCCAUGCAGAAUUAUGGGCGUCACCCUUGUGAGCAAAAAGACAGAACUGCAGAUGAAUUUCACAGAAGCCAGUGAGGCCUGUAAGCUGCUGGGACUAACUUUAGCCAGCAAAGACCAGGUUGCAGCAGCGCAGAAAUUUGGCUUUGAGACUUGCAAUUAUGGAUGGGUUGGAGAACGGUAUACUGUCAUCCCAAGGAUUCUCUCCAACCCUAAGUGUGGGAAGAAUGGUAUUGGCGUCCUCACUUGGAAUGCUCCAGUGAGCCGAAAGUUUAAGGCCUACUGUUACAACUCAUCUGACACGUGGGUUAACUCGUGCCUCCCGGAAACCGUCACCACCUUUGAUCCCAUGUUUGACUCUGUGACGCCCACAGCAGAGCUCACUGUGGGUGACAGCUCCUCCUCCUCAUCAUCCACUUACUCUACACAUGCUCUGGCUACCACUCCUGCUCCAGCCACCACCUCCAUUCCACGGAAGACAAAGCUGAUUUGUGUAACAGAAGUUUUGACAGAAACUAGUUCUGCAGCUACAGAGACAGAACCAACUAUUGAAAGUGAAGCAGCAUUCAAGAAUGAAGCUGCUGGGUUUGGAGGUGUCCCCACGGCUCUGCUGGUGCUCGCUCUCCUCUUCUUUGGUGCUGCAGCUGGCCUGGCAGUUUGUUACAUCAAAAGGUAUGUGAAAGCCUUCCCCUUUACAAACAAGAAUCCAAAGAAAGAAAUGAUUGAAACCAAGGUAGUAAAAGAAGAGAAGACUGACGAUGGCAAUGCCAACGAGGAAUCAAAGAAAACUGAGAAGACCUCUGAAGAUCCAAAGAGUCCACCCAAAACGACAGUGCGCUGUCUAGAAGCUGAAGUUUAGAGAAGGAGCAGAGAAGGCACACACCUGAGGCCGGUUUCUUUCCUGAUUUGUCCCCUGGCUCCAGGUGGGGAAAGUGAAAGGGCCAAAGAACUAAAGAAAAAUGUCCACCAUGGGUUCCUAAAAGGAAACAACUGUAGAGUUCUUCAAAGAGAGGGCUCUCCUCACUGCAGUCCUUCCUGGACCCUCUCCUCCUACCUCCACAGCUUCCCACAGCCUUUCUAGCCUAUGUCCUAGUAAUAUCCCAGUGACAGAAAGGAACUAUCAAGCGUGCCUUAUACAGUCCACCCCUACACUGCCUGAGUUGAGGGCCAGAGACCCUGAGACCAGGCCAGCCAGCCUGCUCAGAGCCUUUUUGUGACUUUGAGAAGGAAACACACUUGGCAUGUCCUUGAGCCAGACACAAGUAAGAGAGGAAGGGAAAGCUCAGCAACUACAGCCCAUGGGGAGCUGCAUGACUUGAGACCUAGUCUCUGGGAAGCAAAAAUAAAUAGAGUGUAGGAGGCCAGGAUACUGACAAUGAGGUUUAUGGCAAAGGCAUAAACACAGGGUCCAGGUAUCCUUCACUGAGUAAAUUGAUUGAAAUCACUUUUUAGAACAUAGAUACUUUCUUUUCUCUCUACUGCUGCUAUUUUCUCUGGAAGAAUAAACUUUGAUAAGAAACAAACAAAAGUACUCAAAAAAUUCUAAUUUUAUCUGAAUCACAGAAAUUAUUAUUGAAGAAAUUAAUAUGUUAAAAAGUAAUGAGAUUCAGCCUGGUGCUGGUGGCUCAUACCUAUUAUCCUAGCUACACACACAGGAGGCUGAGAGCUGAGGAUCACAGUUCAAAGCCAGUGCAGACAAGAAAGUCUGUG